rnacentral:rRNA from 1 species
UGCAAGUCGAACGCGUUGGCCCAAUUGAUUGAUGGUGCUUGCACCUGAUUGAUUUUGGUCGCCAACGAGUGGCGGACGGGUGAGUAACACGUAGGUAACCUGCCCAGAAGCGGGGGACAACAUUUGGAAACAGAUGCUAAUACCGCAUAACAGCGUUGUUCGCAUGAACAACGCUUAAAAGAUGGCUUCUUGCUAUCACUUCUGGAUGGACCUGCGGUGCAUUAGCUUGUUGGUGGGGUAACGGCCUACCAAGGCGAUGAUGCAUAGCCGAGUUGAGAGACUGAUCGGCCACAAUGGGACUGAGACACGGCCCAUACUCCUACGGGAGGCAGCAGUAGGGAAUCUUCCACAAUGGGCGCAAGCCUGAUGGAGCAACACCGCGUGAGUGAAGAAGGGUUUCGGCUCGUAAAGCUCUGUUGUUAAAGAAGAACACGUAUGAGAGUAACUGUUCAUACGUUGACGGUAUUUAACCAGAAAGUCACGGCUAACUACGUGCCAGCAGCCGCGGUAAUACGUAGGUGGCAAGCGUUAUCCGGAUUUAUUGGGCGUAAAGAGAGUGCAGGCGGUUUUCUAAGUCUGAUGUGAAAGCCUUCGGCUUAACCGGAGAAGUGCAUCGGAAACUGGAUAACUUGAGUGCAGAAGAGGGUAGUGGAACUCCAUGUGUAGCGGUGGAAUGCGUAGAUAUAUGGAAGAACACCAGUGGCGAAGGCGGCUACCUGGUCUGCAACUGACGCUGAGACUCGAAAGCAUGGGUAGCGAACAGGAUUAGAUACCCUGGUAGUCCAUGCCGUAAACGAUGAGUGCUAGGUGUUGGAGGGUUUCCGCCCUUCAGUGCCGGAGCUAACGCAUUAAGCACUCCGCCUGGGGAGUACGACCGCAAGGUUGAAACUCAAAGGAAUUGACGGGGGCCCGCACAAGCGGUGGAGCAUGUGGUUUAAUUCGAAGCUACGCGAAGAACCUUACCAGGUCUUGACAUCUUGCGCCAACCCUAGAGAUAGGGCGUUUCCUUCGGGAACGCAAUGACAGGUGGUGCAUGGUCGUCGUCAGCUCGUGUCGUGAGAUGUUGGGUUAAGUCCCGCAACGAGCGCAACCCUUGUUACUAGUUGCCAGCAUUAAGUUGGGCACUCUAGUGAGACUGCCGGUGACAAACCGGAGGAAGGUGGGGACGACGUCAGAUCAUCAUGCCCCUUAUGACCUGGGCUACACACGUGCUACAAUGGACGGUACAACGAGUCGCGAACUCGCGAGGGCAAGCAAAUCUCUUAAAACCGUUCUCAGUUCGGACUGCAGGCUGCAACUCGCCUGCACGAAGUCGGAAUCGCUAGUAAUCGCGGAUCAGCAUGCCGCGGUGAAUACGUUCCCGGGCCUUGUACACACCGCCCGUCACACCAUGAGAGUUUGUAACACCCAAAGUCGGUGGGGUAACCUUUUAGGAGCCAGCCGCCUAA